AACGCGUGGGAAUGUACCCUUUUCUAAGGAAUAGCCUCGGGAAACUGAGAGUAAUACCUUAUACGCCCUUCGGGGGAAAGAUUUAUCGGAGAAGGAUCAGCCCGCGUUGGAUUAGGUAGUUGGUGGGGUAACGGCCUACCAAGCCUACGAUCCAUAGCUGGUUUGAGAGGAUGAUCAGCAACACUGGGACUGAGACACGGCCCAGACUCCUACGGGAGGCAGCAGUGGGGAAUCUUAGACAAUGGGCGCAAGCCUGAUCUAGCCAUGCCGCGUGAGUGACGAAGGCCUUAGGGUCGUAAAGCACUUUCGCCAGAGAUGAUAAUGACAGUAUCUGGUAAAGAAACCCCGGCUAACUCCGUGCAGCAGCCGCGGUAAUACGGAGGGGGUUAGCGUUGUUCGGAAUUACUGGGCGUAAAGCGCGCGUAGGCGGAUUAGUAAGUUAGGGGUGAAAUCCCGGGGCUCAACCCCGGAACUGCCUCUAAUACUGCUAGUCUUGAGUUCGAGAGAGGUGAGUGGAAUUCCGAGUGUAGAGGUGAAAUUCGUAGAUAUUCGGAGGAACACCAGUG
rnacentral:rRNA from 1 species